GAGAGUAAUCAAGUAAGUGUAGGCAAACCGUCUCAAGGCUGAGCAUGCACCGGCCAUGGGCUGGUAUUUUUUUGGGGCCGUGACGGCCCACCUCUAUUGCUCAACGUUGAGCACUCAUCGCGCUAAACAUUCCCCGUUGCCAAACUGGACGGACCGAUAUGGCGCCAGCGAAAAAAGGCAAAGCGAAGGCGAAAUUGGACGAGUCAACUCAGUCCUUGCAAGCCUCCGCUAACAAAACUCAAAACGACAAUUUCCCUUCAUGUUUUCGCUUCGUUUCUUCCACCUCGGUGGCCAUCACCAUCCACGCCAAGCCGGGCUCCAAAGUCUCCUCUAUUACAGAUGUGAGUGAUGAGGCUGUGGGAGUGCAAAUUGACGCGCCGGCGAAGGACGGCGAAGCGAACGCGGCACUUCUCGAGUACAUCAGCUCGGGUUUAGGGGUGAAAAGGAGGCAAGUGUCUAUAGGUUCUGGAUUUAAAUCAAGGGUAAAAAUUGUGGUUGUCGAAGAGGUUACUCCACAAAAUGUUUUUAAUGCUUUGGACAAAGCGUCAAAGUCCUAAACUAAAAGGUGAAAUAAUAGAUGUGCAUCUGUUUGCUUGAAUUCCUUUCUUCAUCCCAACAAAAGCUGGAUAAUCGGGAUGAUUCAUUCAGCAGUUGACUCUGAAAUAUUGGCAUGAUGAAGAUUAGGAUGCUUCAGAACAGAAGCUUCGUCUGCAGCUAUCUGAAACGUCUCUUUCAACCAUCAUAUAAUAGAAUUUUGCUGUUGGUGCAAAUGCUAUUAUAUGUGCAAACUUGAUUCCUGUAAAUGAGGGUUCCAACUGUCAAAAUAGUGAGUGUAAAAGAAGUCAGUGAAACACUGGCAAUUAAAAUAUCUGCUUGAUGCUCUUUUUUGCUUCCUUUAUUGGCAGCUUCUCCUUUGGUGGCAAAUGCAGAUGUUGAAUUACCUGCUUUGAUUAUGAUAUAGUUUGAAUUUCCCUAUUGUCAUGGUCC